rnacentral:rRNA from 1 species
GACGAACGCUGGCGGCGUGCCUAAUACAUGCAAGUAGAACGCAGUUGCGAACGGGUGAGUAACGCGUAGGUAACUGCCUGGUAGCGGGGGAUAACUAUUGGAAACGAUAGCUAAUACCGCAUACUACCAGAUGGACCUGCGUUGUAUUAGCUAGUGUGUGGGGUAACGGCUCACCAAGGCAACGAUACAUAGCCGACCGGGGAUGGUGUGCGGCCACACCAGGACUGAGACACGGCCCGGACUCCGACCGGAGGCAGGAGUAGGUAAUCGUCGGCAAUUGGGGGAACCCUGACCGGGCAACGCCGCGUGAGUGAAGAAGGUUUUCGGAUCGUAAAGCUCUGUUGUUAAGGAAGCGGUACUUAACCAGAAAGGGACGGCUAACUACGUGCCAGCAGCCGCGGUAAUAC